rnacentral:rRNA from 1 species
UUAUACGCAUGGUAGAGGAGCGUUCUGUAAGCGGUUGAAGGUGUGCCGGGAGGCAUGCUGGACGUAUCAGAAGUGCGAAUGCUGACAUGAGUAACGAUAAGGGGGGUGAAAAACCUCCCCGCCGGAAGAUCAAGGUUUCCUGCGCAACGUUAAUCGGCGCAGGGUGAGUCGGCCCCUAAGGCGAGGCAGAAAUGCGUA